rnacentral:rRNA from 1 species
GACGAACCGUGCGAACGUUAUUCGGAAUCACUGGGCUUAAAGCGCGUGUAGGCGGAAGGGCACGUCCGACGCUGAAAUCCCCCGGCUCAACCGGGGAAGUGGCUCGGAUACGACUCUUCUGGAGGGGCGUAGGGGGACCUGGAACUUCCGGUGGAGCGGUGAAAUGCGUUGAGAUCGGAAGGAACGCCCGUGGCGAAAGCGAGGUCCUGGACGCUUACUGACGCUGAGACGCGAAAGCCAGGGGAGCGAACGGG